CUGUGAGGGGGCGGGGUUGGAGCCCGCGGUGGGCGUCACCAGGCCUGCCCCGGCUCCGGGGGACUGAUAGGGAGGCCCAAGCCCAGAGAGGGGCUGAGACCACCCCCCAAGCCCCCCAGAAAGGUGGCGCCUGAGCCACGGCCAGGCCCGGCCUCCUUCCACCCGGCCCUGCUGUGCGCGCGGCGGGGCAGACCUGGCGAGGCCGGGCCGGGGACCAGGUCGGGUGACAGUCGCUGACACCUGGACUUGAGCUCGAUGGGCAGCAUCUUGCAAAACUGAAAAUUUUUUCCCCUGUGGUUCCAUGAAGUGGAAAAAGGAUCUGGGGUACAUGUGCAGUUCAUGCAGGAUUGUUGCACAGGAGACAGGGGUGCCCACGGAGAAGAUCCAAAGGCUUUGUUCACCUAAUAACCUACAGAACCAGUAAGAUGCUUUGGGGAAUGCAGACAGUUCGCCUCUCAGCAUCCCAAGUGGGAAAGGAGGAAGUCGGCCGGCCCGUCCUCAUCCCCAGUCCCUGGGGAUGAAGAAUGGAGGAGCUGCCAGUGCUAGAGAGCACCAUGCUGUCCCUGUCCCUUCUGAGAUGGGAGAGGCCAUGCAGGGUGAACUUGGGCUUUUGAAACAAUUCAGAGGGUGAGGCCUCACCAGCAGAGGGCAGAGAGACUAAGGCAAGUUCCAGAUUUUAUCUUGAGUACUGCUUUGAUUGAUUGAUUGAUUGAGACGGAGUUUCACUCUUGUUGCCCAGGCUGGAGUGCAAUGGUGCAAUCUCAGCUCACUGCAACCUCCAUCUCCUGGGUUCAAGGAAUUCCCCUGCCUCAGCCUCCCAAAUAGCUGGGAUUACAGGCGUGCACCCCCACACGCAGCUAAUUAUAUAUAUAUAUAUG